UAUGUAUGUAUAUGUAUAUAUUUUCCCCAUAUUUUUGGUUAGAAAAUCCAGUUUAAAAUGGAAGUUGUGGAAAAGUCAGUUUAAAAUAGUUGUUGGGGGGUUCUUUUGCCAUAUUUUUGGCGGGAAAACCCAGUCUAAAGUGGAAAUUGCAGAAAAAACAGUUUAAAAUAUAUUUUUUUUCCCCCAUAUUUUUGGUGAGAAAAUCCAGUUUAAAAUGGAAAUUGCUGGAACAUGUCUUUUAAAAUAGAAAUUUUGAGAAGGGAAAAGCCUGUUUAAAGUCGUUUUGGUGGGGUUUUUUUUUUUGCAGAAAAUAAAAUCAUAUUUAGAAUGGAUUUUUCUUUCAUUGUUUUGGUGGGAAAAUACAUUUUAAAGUGGAAAUCAUGGAAAAAAGCCAGUUCAAGAUGGAAAUGUUUCCCUUAUUUUUUGGUGGAAAAAAUACAGUUCAAAACAUAUAUGUUGGGGUUCUUUUAAUAUUUUUUCUAAGAUGCAGCACAAAAGGGAAUUUCCCCCCCUUUUUUUUUGUGGGAGAACCACAAAAGGAGGCUUAAAAUUUACUUUUUUCCCCCCAUUUUUGUGGAAAGAUCCAUUUAAAAUUUUAUUUCCCCCCAUUUUCUGUGGAAUUCACAAUUCACCUCUCGCUGUCCCGAGGCUGUCAUUGGGACUUAAGGAUAUGAAAGGCCUUUUCCAAUGAAAACAAUUCCAUGCUUUAGGGAGCUGAAAAACACAGAAGGAUUUAAAACACAGAGGGGAAAGGAGUUGAGGGAAAUAAUAAAAAUUGCUGUAAAUCUGUGGGGUUUUUUGAGUCUUGAGGCAGAACUUGAUUCCCUGAAGCUGUCGGAUUUGUUUUUCCUUAGGAAUGACGUGGAAAACACAACGGGAACAGGCAUGAGAAGAGUCCCCAGAAGUUAUUUAUGAGCAGCCUGGAAAGCAAAAUAUUUUCAGAUUAAAAAGGAAAAUGGCAUCCACUGCUUUCCCUGAGGUGUGUCCUUGCAGCAGAGAUUUGUCAGGAGCCUGCACUGAGCUGUCUUUGUGCGGCUCAUGGAGAACCAGGAUGGUUUUCCCCUGCAUCCAUGGGGAAUUUUGGUGCAAAAGUGGGUUUGUUUUAAGUGGCCUGGGCCAGGCUCUUCCUUCCAUGGCUUCUCUGGAGCCGACCAAAACCAAGGUUGAAUUUGGGGGUGGUUCCUGUAGUGUUAGAGAUUGUAGUCCCCAAAAUCCGUCAUUGCUCUGGAGAGCUGCUGCUGGGGGGGAUUUUGGAUUCCUGCAGCGUCUCCCAGUGCCUGUCAGGGCUCUACAAACACAGAUUUCUGGUCUUUCAUUCAAGUAUUCCCUCUCUCCAGUUUAGAUCCUUACAUGCAGUCCCUUUGCAGGCACUCCUCAGACAUUUCCAGCUUGUUUUCACUUCUUACUUUCAAAUAUAUUUAUAUAAACGUGGAUAUAGUUUGGUCACGGAAUGAUUUGGGAGCUCCAAACAUCUCUCAUACAAUUAACGGGGAGACAAAGAUCAGACUAAGGAAGGUGAAAACGAGCUGGGAGCUCGCUGGUUGUGCCCUCCCAUCCCCACAUCUUCCAUGAAGCUGAUUUUCACACCAGAGAGGAUUUUUUUUCAGUCAGUUUUUAAGACAGGCGUUGCCUGACUCCAGUCGGGCUCAUUUCCAUCUUGGUGGCUGCUGGAGUACCUGAUAAUCCCAGUCCUGGAGUGUGAGAAAUGAAUCUUACUCUUUAAAAUUUUAAAAGUUUCAUAAGGGAUAAAAAAGGACUUUUACAGCGCUGGGUGCAUAUCCAGAGCUAGAGGCACUCUGGUUAACUGUAACUCUUCUUAUAUACAUUUUAUUGCAUUGAUUAAAUGUAUAUUAAUGAAGAUUAUACAUAUUCAAACUUUUUUUUUGAGUUCUUUUAUGUGUUUCUGGGAAUUCUUUAGCUUGGUUUGGCUCCUGACCUGUCGUGGAAAAGUGUAAUUUGAUUUUUGAGAGUCGCUAUUUCUUCACAACAACGAAAAUGGUCGGUGGCAGAAGCCUUCACAUCUUCUUUUUCAAUGUUAUUUGUGUGGUUCUUUUAGUGUUGUCUAAUCAUACAGAUUUUUUUAACUGUAAUAGUUUUAACUAUUUCCACAAAUUUGAGUUCUUCUCACUAUUAUCAGCUACAAAAGCAAAGGCAUCAGCUACUUCUGCAAAAAGUUACAACGCACAACACAUAGUUUCUAUUUAAUAUUUUGCAAAAGCCUAAACUAUAAUAUAUGUUCAUCACACAAAUAUAUAUAUAUAUAUGAGCUACACAGGGCCAGGACUUUGGCCACAAAAGCUGACAAAUUAUACUGUAUUAAAACCAGUGAAUAUAUUUAAUAUACCCAGACUGUUUUACCCUUUAUCCAACACACCAGAAUCACUGAGUUUUCCCAGUUUCCUCACACCCCUUUCUGUGGCCUUUAGCCCAAAUUCCUGAGGGAAUUUGAAUGCUGAUUUCCUGUGUGAGGAGCUUACAUUUCUGCAGCCAGGCUAAGGUUUAAUUUGCUUUCUCAGCAAGAUCUCAAAUCAAAGAUUGAUCAGAGAUUGAUCAGAGAUUGAUCUCACCGAUAAUCCUGUACCUGAACAAGAUAUUCACACUGCUCUAAGCCCCUGCACACGUUUCUGCAGAGGAAUCCCACCCUGAGCUGCCCUCGCUGUGCUGAUCCAGGUGGCUGAUCCCAGCACUGAUGCAGAUGUUCAGAUUUGGGGAAGAUCCAAAGUUUGAGAAGGAAAACUGCAGAUCAAUGGGUUCAGGUGAGCUCAUGUGAAUUCCAUGGGAAUUGGAAAAGUCCUGGAGCCACCUGAGAGCUGGAGGAGCCUGGGACGUGCCAAUGGACACCGGGGAAAUCACCAGUGUGAAUCCCAGAUAUCUCCUUCCAUCUCCUCAAUCUUCUUGGUGCCACUGGGUUUUAGAUCCUCUGAUAAUGGGUGAAAUAAAUCCUUCUCUUGGAGAUCUUGGAGGAAAAGAUAAUUUUAAGAAUGCAGUUGGAUCCCAGCAUGAGCAGCUCAGCUUUUUGCUAUAAAAGUGCAAAGCAAGGUGAGAUAAUCCACAUUUAAAGCCUCUUUUGGGUGUGUUGGCCACGUCAGCACCGAGGAAACUCCAGCAAACCCCAACUGCAAUAAUUACUGAAGUUUUCCUUUAGAAAUUCUCCAUAGGAACCUCUUUGUUAUGGAGAUACCUUUCAAGAGGAAAAGAGUUCUCAGCUCUCCAUCCUCCCCUGGAGCUGGGAGGGAACAGCCAGGGCAGCUCCUCAAAUGAGAACUGGGACAAAAGGAUCCCUUCCCAAGCCUUUCUUCCACAUCUGAAAAUUUCCUGUGAAAUCCCUGUGAAAUCCAGAAAUAAUGGGGAAGGAGAAACCCCUGCAACCCAGAAAUGCUGGCUGGAGGGAAGGGAAAGGACAGGAAGCAGCGUGAAACACCCUCAUUCCAAAUGGGGAUUCUUUCAUGGUUUGAGGCUGUUGAGAUGGGAAGGCCCUAAAAGAAGCAGAACUUCUGAAUUCCCUGAAUAUUCCCAGCACUUUUAAGCAAAUCCCGCCAUUUGAAAUCCAAAAUUUGCUUUAGAGAUGUCUUUAUUAACCACCAAGGAGAUGGAAUUACACACAAAAAUAUGGAAUUACACACAAAACUCAGCUGAGAGCUGGAGAUGCUGAACACAGAGGUUGCAAGAGCUGUCUGGCUCCAGAAAGGUGAUGACUGGAGGAAAUAGCUGCGAGCUGCUGUGACCAGAGACUUCCUGGUGGGUGCUGGGGGAGGGAGAACACGAGAGAGGGAUGAGGAGGAGAUGUAGGUGCACAGCUCGGAACAAACCGGAGCUGCAAACCACAUCCUGCAGCAUCUGAGUGGGGCAGAUGUUCUCAUUUUCCUGAGAACACGGCGCUGGGUUCAUUAUUGGACUUGGUGAUAUUUUCCAUCAUGGUGAUUCUCCUGGGAACACAGUGCAGGGGUCAUGGGUGGGCUUGGUGAUCUUUUCCAGCUCCAAGUUUUCCAUCCCAUGGUUAUUUUCUUGAGAGCACAGUGCUGGGCUGAUGAUUGGACUUGGUGAUCUUUUCAUCCUGUGAUUAUUUUCCUGAGAACACCGUGCUGGGGUCAUGGUUGGACUUUGGGUUGAUGGUUGGACUUGGUGAUCUUUUCCAGCUCCAAGUUUUCCAUCCUGUGGUGAUUUUCCUGAGAACACAGUGCUGGGUUCAUUAUUUGAUUUGGUGAUCUUUUCCAUCCCAUGGUUAUUUUCCUGGGAACACAGUGCUGGAGUCAUGGUUGGACUUCAGGUUGAUGGCUGGACUUGGUGAUCUUUUUCAGCUCCAAGUUUUCCAUCCUGUGGUGAUUUUCCUGGAACACAGUGCUGGGUUGAUAGCAGAACUUGGUGAUAUUUUCCAGCUCUGGGCUUUUCCAUCCUGUGAUUUUCCUGAGAACACGGUGCUGGGUUGAUGGCAGGACUUGUUGACUUUUUCCAGCUCCAAGUUUUCCAUCCCAUGGUUAUUUUCUUGAGAGCACAGUGCUGGGCUGAUGAUUGGACUUGGUGAUCUUUUCAUCCUGUGGUUAUUUUCCUGGGAACAUGGUACUGGGUUGAUGGCUGGACUUGGUGACCUUUUCCAUCCUGUGAUUAUUUUCCUGAGAACAUGGUGCUGGGUUCAUGGUUGGAUUUGGUGAUCUUUUCCAUCCCAUGGUUAUUUUCCUGAGAACACAGUGCUGGGUUCAUGGUUGGAUUUGGUGGUCUUUUCCAGCUCCAAGUUUUUCCAUCCCGUGGUGAUUUUCUUGACACGUUGUGAGAGACUGGUUUGUGGCUUAGACAUUGCUAAAAUCAUCAAAGGGCUUUAGCCCACUGUGGCAAACUGGAAUUGCUGUCCAGCUGUGACCACCAGAGCCAUCCCUCCCCAAACACCCCCAAGUGAAAUGCUGGAUUUUGAAGCUGGGAUAAGACAAAGGUGGUACUUUCAUCCAAUUAUCCCGGGUCUGGGAAGAAGAACCGGAUAUUGGAAGAGAGACUGAUGUUGCCAGCUCAAACAAUCAAGAGCGAGUUAUGAUGUGCCAAGGCCACAAACUGAUAAGGGAGUCUUUAUCAAGGGCACUGCCUCUUUGUCCCUGCUCCAGGGAACUCUGCUGGGAUAAUUCCCAUGCCCUGGAAUAUCGGGAUAUUCACAGCUAGCCCCCAGGCGUUCACCUCGGCCAUAAAGGGCCAUCAUGGGUCACAGGGACUGAACUGUGCCGAUACAAAAGGCAGCUGCAUCAUCUCUGAAGGUGUCAAAGAGGCCCGAAGUGUCCCACAGGAUUCCAUCAUUCAGGGUGAUGGAACUCCCCGCUCCAGGGGAGGCACCUGGAGUGAAUACAAACCCAGAUUUUCGUGUUCUGUGCAUUUCUCCCGCCACCUCUUCAGGAUUUCCCCUCAUCCCCAGGUGGAUCCACUCUGUGACCACCAGUUGGACCAACAGACAGUGAGAUUGCAACAACCAAUUCUCACCACGAGACCUGUGGGUGGCAAGAUCUUUCUCCUCUUAUCCUUUCCUUCUCUUUUCCUUGUAUCACAUUUUCUUAAGUGCUACUUUUAUGCUUUCAUGUUGUCAUGUUACUGUAGAU